rnacentral:rRNA from 1 species
GACGAACGCUAGCGGCGUGCCUAAUACAUGCAAGUCGAACGAACCGCGACUAAGUGCUUGCACUAAGUCAAGGUGAGUGGCGAACGGGUGAGUAACACGUGGGUAACCUACCUCAUAGUGGGGGAUAACAGUCGGAAACGACUGCUAAUACCGCAUAGGACAUAGGAUCACAUGAUCCAGUGAGGAAAGGUGGCGCAAGCUAUCGCUAAGAGAUGGACCCGCGGUGCAUUAGCUAGUUGGUAGGGUAAAGGCCUACCAAGGCGAUGAUGCAUAGCCGACCUGAGAGGGUGAUCGGCCACAUUGGGACUGAGACACGGCCCAAACUCCUACGGGAGGCAGCAGUAGGGAAUCUUCCGCAAUGGACGCAAGUCUGACGGAGCAACGCCGCGUGAGUGAAGAAGGUCUUCGGAUCGUAAAGCUCUGUUGUUAGAGAAGAACAGCGCAUAGAGUAACUGCUAUGCGUGUGACGGUAUCUAACCAGAAACCCACGGCUAACUACGUG